UGAGGAAUAUUGGGCAAUGCCCGCAAGGGUGACCCAGCAACGCCGCGUGGAGGAUGAAUGUCGUAAGAUUGUAAACUCCUGUUAGAGGGGAAGAAUAGUACCGGUUGGACCGGUAUAUGACUGUACCCUCAGAGAAAGCCCCGGCUAACUACGUGCCAGCAGCCGCGGUAAUACGUAGGGGGCAAGCGUUGUCCGGAUUUACUGGGUGUAAAGGGCGCGCAGGCGGGAUAAAAAGUCAGUGGUGAAAUCCUACAGCUUAACUGUAGAACUGCCUUUGAUACUUUUAUUCUCGAGUUCGGGAGAGAGAGACGGAAUUCCAGGUGUAGUGGUGAAAUACGUAGAUAUCUGGAAGAACACCAGUUGCGAAGGCGGUCUCUUGGUCCGACACUGACGCUGAGGCGCGAAAGCGUGGGGAGCAAACA
rnacentral:rRNA from 1 species